AUUCCCUUUUUCCUUAAAUUAUUUGCUUUCAUUAAAUGACUUGUUAGUUAAUCAUGCUAUCUUGAAAAGAAAGUAAAAAUGUUAAAAAUCGUAAGCCCCAUGUGAGUAUGCUCGUGGCAUAAAACCCAUAAGUACAUUCACUAUGGUGGCGUAAAAAUAAAAUAAAUAUAUUCCUGUCCUACAAAAAUUAAAAUAUAAAAAUAGAUUGUGAUCCUACUAAAGAGAGUAACAUUUAUAGAGGAAGCUCAAUAUGAUUACGGCUAAGAGAUUUUAUGCUAACACUUAACCAGUUCCACAAAGCUUUGUUGUCUAUUUGAGCUCCACAGAAUUCAAGAAUCCAAGAAGACUAGCAGACGGAGGACAUCCUAAUCGCUGUCAGGGUGCUGCCGACAUUUAAAUACACCUUCGCCACCUGCUAGCUACAUCAGAAGAAAUUACGUCAAAAUCCAGCUUGGGGGAGAGCACCCCCAUUUAUCCAGCUAAGUGUUCUACUCACUUUAUACUUUACUCAAAUAAUAAAAAGAUGCAUAAUCAUAAAAACCCAAAUAAAGAUUUUAUGCUUAUAUAUAUCUUUGCUUAGUUUUCUGAAUAAAUAAAUAAAUAAAGUUUGCUAUAAACCCUCAUGAUAAGCUCUCACAUGGAAAUGAUGAAUAGUUACUCUGCCAUGACUAGUUCUCAAAAUUAAAAAUCUCUCUCAAGUUUAGGCAUGACUGUUAUUAAUUAAGUUUUGCUCAACUUGUGGGAAGAGUACUUGAUCUAAAGUCUAAGUCGUUAACGGAUACGAUAUGGGAAGGUUAAGAUGUUGUUUAUCUGUUCCUAGAGAUGCUAGAAUUCUGGAGAAUUUUAUCUUUGAAAAUCUUUAAAAUAACACAUGAUGAGUUCCUGUAUAAUGAGAGUUUAAAUUCCUACCACAGCCAUAUAUACAUGCUUGCUAGACUUUGAGCCACACAUUUACUUUUUACUGCUUAUGAGCAUUGAGUGAGGUCAAGCUGUGUAGACCCUUAGGAGCUUGUCAUGUGGUUAAAAUCAAGAUUUACUUGCACGUUCACUCACACAUCCUGCUUCUACUCCGGAAGUACGCAUCCACAUACAUCCACUCAUUUCCAUAUCCAGAUUCACCCAAAAUUAUUCUACUCCUAUCUAGGAGAGAAUAGCCAAAAACAUUAUCCUAUCCCUGUUAUUCCCCGUGAAAUAAAUGCUCGAGAUGUUUUGGUUACUACCACUUGCUACAUUAUUCCACGAGGGUGAGUGCUCUAAAAAAAGUGAAUACAAGGAAAUAAAAAGGGGCAAGUGCCCAAAACCUCAGAAAAAAAGAGAAGAAAAAGUGAGACGAGAGGUAAAAAUGGACAAGUGUCCGACAGUAGAAUUAGGGGUACAAGAUACCCACCUGAGAGAAAAGAAAAAUAAAAUAUAGAGCAUAUCAUUCCCCUCAAAAGCCUCAAGUGCAAGGAAGGUAUUACCCACUCAAAAGAGCAAAAGUAGAAUUAGACUUUCACCAUUAUUUUCACCAUUAUCACCAUUCCUUCGCCACACAUGCACAUCUUGAUUUGACUCAUUGACUUGUUCUUCUGGAUCCAUGGUUUGACUAUGCAAUAAAUGUCUUGUAAGUAUGUAUUAGCUGUCUCCCACCUAUGAGCUCCAGAUAUCAAAACCUUAUUAGAGUAGGGUGAGAGAGAAGACAAUGCCACUAUGCCUCAUACCAAAAAUACCAUAUACUUUGAAGGCAUACACCAUUACUGCCUUGGUAAGGAUCCAGAAAUACCAUAAAAGAGAGACUAGAGAGAGUCAUAUAAGGAAUCUCUGAGUUUUAUUGGAAAAUCUACAAAAACUCCAGAGCUAUAGUUAAUCGAAGAACAAGAGAUAUGGUGCUUGACUAGACCGUUCUAUCUUUUAAUUGCUCAAGACGCAAGUGACGGUUGCAAGCCCCAUGGUGAAAGGUAAAAUGAGUAAGUUUUAAGUCGUAACAGUUUACUCUAACUCAGAGAUG
rnacentral:lncRNA from 1 species